AUACUAUAUAACCCCAAAUCAAGGGGAGGACUAGGUCUACCCCACCUGCAUAACUACUACAUAGCUGCACAAAUAGCCCAAAUAGCACACUGGCACUGCCCCAGAGGUAAAUGUAGAUGGGUGGACAUAGAAUCCCAACUAACUAGAACUGACCUACCCCAAUUCCUGAUAUGGGUGCCCAAAGAACACAGGACAAUUAUUAGGACCACAUGCCCAGCCAUCCUAAACUCCAUCAAC